rnacentral:rRNA from 1 species
CGGGUGAGUAACACAUAUCCAACCUGCCGUCUACUCUUGGACAGCCUUCUGAAAGGAAGAUUAAUACAAGAUGGCAUCAUGAGUCCACAUGUUCACAUGAUUAAAGGUAUUCCGGUAGACGAUGGGGAUGCGUUCCAUUAGAUAGUAGGCGGGGUAACGGCCCACCUAGUCUUCGAUGGAUAGGGGUUCUGAGAGGAAGGUCCCCCACAUUGGAACUGAGACACGGUCCAA